AUGAAGGGCUUAGUUGAUGCUUUGAAGACAACUGAGCCCAUUCCACUACCAAAGGAUAACACUCCAGCUAUAAUUCUUGAUGCACUAAAGUUUAUACCAAAUUUAGCCGAGCAAGACAUGCUUCGAUGCUAUGGGAAGUUGGUACUCAAUGGUCGCUUGUUUCAAGCUCUAAAGGAGCUGCUCGUCACCGUGAGGAAGACGUGGCUGUUAAUGUUUCCUUGA
rnacentral:rRNA from 1 species